rnacentral:rRNA from 1 species
AACUGCGGAAGGAUCAUUAAAGAGACGUUGCCCUUCGGGGUAUACCUCCCACCCUUUGUUUAUUAUACCUUUGUUGCUUUGGCGGGCCCGUCCUCGGACCACCGGCUUCGGCUGGUCAGUGCCCGCCAGAGGACCUAAAACUCUGUUUGUUCAUAUUGUCUGAGUACUAUAUAAUAGUUAAAACUUUCAACAACGGAUCUCUUGGUUCUGGCAUCGAUGAAGAACGCAGCGAAAUGCGAUAAGUAAUGUGAAUUGCAGAAUUCAGUGAAUCAUCGAAUCUUUGAACGCACAUUGCGCCCCCUGGUAUUCCGGGGGGCAUGCCUGUUCGAGCGUCAUUACAACCCUCAAGCUCUGCUUGGUAUUGGGCUCUGCCGGUCCCGGCAGGCCUUAAAAUCAGUGGCGGUGCCAUUCGGCUUCAAGCGUAGUAAUUCUUCUCGCUUUGGAGACCCGGGUGCGUGCUUGCCAGCAACCCCCAAUUUUUUCAGGUUGACCUCGGAUCAGGUAGGGAUACCCGCUGAACUUAGC